rnacentral:rRNA from 1 species
GAUGAACGCUGGCGGCGUGCCUAAUACAUGCAAGUCGAGCGAACGGACGAGAAGCUUGCUUCUCUGAUGUUAGCGGCGGACGGGUGAGUAACACGUGGAUAACCUACCUAUAAGACUUGGAUAACUUCGGGAAACCGGAGCUAAUACCGGAUAAUAUUUUGAACCGCAUGGUUCAAAAGUGAAAGAAGGUCUUGCUGUCACUUAUAGAUGGAUCCGCGCUGCAUUAGCUAGUUGGUAAGGUAACGGCUUACCAAGGCAACGAUGCAUAGCCGACCUGAGAGGGUGAUCGGCCACACUGGAACUGAGACACGGUCCAGACUCCUACGGGAGGCAGCAGUAGGGAAUCUUCCGCAAUGGGCGAAAGCCUGACGGAGCAACGCCGCGUGAGUGAUGAAGGUCUUCGGAUCGUAAAACUCUGUUAUUAGGGAAGAACAUAUGUGUAAGUAACUGUGCACAUCUUGACGGUACCUAAUCAGAAAGCCACGGCUAACUACGUG